rnacentral:rRNA from 1 species
GGGAAUCUACCUUUUGCUACGGAAUAACUCAGGGAAACUUGUGCUAAUACCGUAUGUGCCCUUCGGGGGAAAGAUUUAUCGGCAAAGGAUGAGCCCGCGUUGGAUUAGCUAGUUGGUGGGGUAAAGGCCCACCAAGGCGACGAUCCAUAGCUGGUCUGAGAGGAUGAUCAGCCACACUGGGACUGAGACACGGCCCAGACUCCUACGGGAGGCAGCAGUGGGGAAUAUUGGACAAUGGGCGCAAGCCUGAUCCAGCCAUGCCGCGUGAGUGAUGAAGGCCCUAGGGUUGUAAAGCUCUUUCACCGGUGAAGAUAAUGACGGUAACCGGAGAAGAAGCCCCGGCUAACUUCGUGCCAGCAGCCGCGGUAAUACGAAGGGGGCUAGCGUUGUUCGGAUUUACUGGGCGUAAAGCGCACGUAGGCGGACUUUUAAGUCAGGGGUGAAAUCCCAGAGCUCAACUCUGGAACUGCCUUUGAUACUGGAAGUCUUGAGUAUGGUAGAGGUGAGUGGAAUUCCGAGU